rnacentral:rRNA from 1 species
GCCUAUGGGCAUACCACCCUCAACACCACCUGGUCUCAUCUGAUCCUGGAAGCUAAACAGAGUCGAGUCUGAUUAGUCCUUGGAUGGGAGACUGCCUGGGAGUACCAGGUGCUAUAUGCU